rnacentral:rRNA from 1 species
AAUGAACGUUGGCGGCGUGGAUUAGGCAUGCAAGUCGAGCGCUCAUAGCAAUAUGGGAGCGGCGAACGGCGUAGGAAUUCAUAGGAACGUACCCUCAGGACGGGGAUAGCUACGGGAAACUGUAGGUAAUACCCGAUGAUCUCCGCGGAGCAAAGGUGUGAUUCCGCCUGAGGAGCGGCUUAUGCGAUAUUAGCUAGUUGGUGGGGUAAUGGCCUACCAAGGCGACGAUGUCUAGGGGGUGUGAGAGCAUGGCCCCCACGACCGGAACUGAGAUACUGUCCGGACACCUACGGGUGGCUGCAGUCGAGAAUCUUCCGCAAUGGACGAAAGUCUGACGGAGCGACGCCGCGUGCGGGAUGAAGGCCCUUGGGUUGUAAACCGCUGUCAGAGGGGAUGAAAUGCGGGUGGGUUCUCCCAUCCGUUUGACAUAGCCUCAGAGGAAGCACGGGCUAAGUUCGUGCCAGCAGCCGCGGUAAAGUCUAGC